AGUGUAACUGUUGGAUUAAAUAGUCAGAAUAAGCUUAGUUUUGUAAGAAAUUGCCAAACUGUCUUGCAAACUGGCUGUGCCAGUGUGCAUUCCUACCAGCAGU
rnacentral:pre_miRNA from 1 species